rnacentral:rRNA from 2 species
ACCUGGCGGCGUGCCUAUACAUGCAAGUCGAACGAAACUUUCUUACACCGAAUGCUUGCAUUCACCGUAAGAAGUUGAGUGGCGGACGGGUGAGUAACACGUGGGUAACCUGCCUAAAAGAAGGGGAUAACACUUGGAAACAGGUGCUAAUACCGUAUAUCUCUAAGGAUCGCAUGAUCCUUAGAUGAAAGAUGGUUCUGCUAUCGCUUUUAGAUGGACCCGCGGCGUAUUAACUAGUUGGUGGGGUAACGGCCUACCAAGGUGAUGAUACGUAGCCGAACUGAGAGGUUGAUCGGCCACAUUGGGACUGAGACACGGCCCAAACUCCUACGGGAGGCAGCAGUAGGGAAUCUUCCACAAUGGACGCAAGUCUGAUGGAGCAACGCCGCGUGAGUGAAGAAGGUCUUCGGAUCGUAAAACUCUGUUGUUAGAGAAGAACACGAGUGAGAGUAACUGUUCAUUCGAUGACGGUAUCUAACCAGCAAGUCACGGCUAACUACGUGCCAGCAGCCGCGGUAAUACGUAGGUGGCAAGCGUUGUCCGGAUUUAUUGGGCGUAAAGGGAACGCAGGCGGUCUUUUAAGUCUGAUGUGAAAGCCUUCGGCUUAACCGGAGUAGUGCAUUGGAAACUGGAAGACUUGAGUGCAGAAGAGGAGAGUGGAACUCCAUGUGUAGCGGUGAAAUGCGUAGAUAUAUGGAAGAACACCAGUGGCGAAAGCGGCUCUCUGGUCUGUAACUGACGCUGAGGUUCGAAAGCGUGGGUAGCAAACAGGAUA